GGCGCAGUAGCUCAAUUGGUUAGAGCCCCGGACUGUCGAUCCGGAGGUUGCGGGUUCGAGUCCCGUCUGCGUCGC
rnacentral:tRNA from 1 species